CGGCAUCGAUCACCAGCAGGUGCGGGUGCUCGCCUUCGAGCGGCGGGAACUGGCCGAGGAACGCCGCGUUCGGGUUCUCGGCGCUGUCGU
rnacentral:tRNA from 3 species